UACAGAGGUCUCAAGCGUUGUUCGGAUUCAUUGGGCGUAAAGGGAGUGCAGGUGGCGCGCUAAGUCGGGUGUGAAAUUUCGGAGCUUAACUCCGAAACUGCAUUCGAUACUGGCGUGCUUGAGGACUGGAGAGGAGACUGGAAUUCAUGGUGUAGCAGUGAAAUGCGUAGAGAUCAUGAGGAAGACCAGUGGCGAAGGCGGGUCUCUGGACAGUUCCUGACACUGAGACACGAAGGCCAGGGGAGCAAACGGG
rnacentral:rRNA from 1 species